rnacentral:rRNA from 1 species
UGGGGAAUAUUGCACAAUGGGCGCAAGCCUGAUGCAGCCAUGCCGCGUGUGUGAAGAAGGCCUUCGGUUGUAAAGCACUUUCAGCGAGGAGGAAGGUGGUGAACUUAAUACGUUCAUCAAUUGACGUUACUCGCAGAAGAAGCACCGGCUAACUCCGUGCCAGCAGCCGCGGUAAUACGGAGGGUGCAAGCGUUAAUCGGAAUUACUGGGCGUAAAGCGCACGCAGGCGGUUUGUUAAGUCAGAUGUGAAAUCCCCGGGCUCAACCUGGGAACUGCAUUUGAAACUGGCAAGCUAGAGUCUCGUAGAGGGGGUAGAAUUCCAGGUGUAGCGGUGAAAUGCGUAGAGAUCUGGAGGAAUACCGGUGGCGAAGGCGGCCCCCUGGACGAAGACUGACGCUCAGGUGCGAAAGCGUGGGGAGCAAAACAGGAUUAGAUACCCUGGUAGUCCACGCUGUAAACGAUGUCGAUUUUGGAGGUUGUGCCCUUGAGGCGUGGCUUCCGGAGCUAACGCGUUAAAUCGACCGCCUGGGGAGUACGGCCGCAAGGUU